rnacentral:lncRNA from 1 species
ACAUCAGGAGGCCAAACAGCCCGGAGCAGCGUCAGGACCCUUGGGUUCCGCCCACGGAGCCGAAGCCGUAGCCUUUUCGCAUUUUAGUAAUCCAGAAAGAACUUAUGAAGCUUCCAGAAUCAGGAAAGGAGAGACAGGAGAGAGGUACACAAUACGCUCAAUCCUGUAUUCGAAGCCUUCGUGAAAAUUCUGAAACCACUGCCCUCCAGGCCUUUCCCAACAAGACUCUUCAGCCUUUCCCAGAGACUUCUCACCGGCCCCGCCCCUGCCGUACCCAGCCCCACCCACAUGAAGCUUCAUAGACCUCCUGGCUUCGCAAAUCCUUCAAAAAAAAAAAAAAAAAAAAAAAAAAAACGGAGGACCUCCUGUACAAAGUGCUAUGGGGUUGGAAAGUACCAGAACACUGGAAAAGCUUGAAGCAAACACCACGAAAGAAGAGUAAGCAAUUUUCCAAUAUUCGCCAACAAAGAACACUAGGAAAAUUCGAGAAAGCCUUGUUGAGCGCAGAGAAUGGAAGUUUAUGCCUAUAUUCUCAACACUGAGGCUGAAGCAGGAUUGCUGCGAGUUCGAGGCUAACCUGAAUUCUAUAGUGAGUUCACGUUCCAGAGUAGGCUAGGCUGCCAAGACACCGUGCUGGAAUGAAAAGCAAAGCAAAGAAAGGUUCUAUAAAGGAAAAAGAGCUGCCACUAAAUUGCCUGAUACCAAGAUGAAAGAUGUCUUAAAAAGAAAUGGUCAAGAAUAUUUUUGUUGUUGUUGUUGCUUCUUCAAGACAAUGAAGCUUAAAAAUGUAAAGAAAACAUUAACCAACAAUGUAUAUUUUUGUUGUUGUUGUUGCUUCUUCAAGACAAUGAAGCUUAAAAAUGUAAAGAAAACAUUAACCAACAAGUAUGUCAGACAAUUGCCAAACUAAGUCAGAGAGCAAUAAUUCUCAACCAAACAUCAAAAAUUUUAGGUUUUUUUCUCUACCAUUUACUACUUUCAUGCUGCUAACCUACCAGUAAAUGUUUAAAGUGAAAAGGAGUAAUUACGAAAUAAUUAAGUAGAAAACAUAAAAUGCAGUCCAUAUUCCCAAACUUUUCACUCUCAAGAGAUAAUAGAAAAACUUAUUUUGUGCUAAGUGACAAUACAAACACUUUGAAGGAAACCAAGAAUGUAAGGAUGGAGCCAAGAGGAAGGACAAGGAUAGCCAACAGGGUUGAUCUGACUUGCUUCGUUUCACUUAGCUAUUUAUUCCUGAGGAGAUACGCAACACAUAGGCAGAAACUGAACUAAAGUUUACAGACUUCUGAAAUCCAUGAUUCAGGAAAACCAUUCAAGAUCUUAGAAGACUGAAAACCAUUUCUUUAACACGUUCCUCUUCUCUGACUCAAGAACCUUUCCUACUAAACCAAGAUGCCUUCUCGAGGGUUAUAAUGGUUUCUCAAAAAAAUCUCAUUUUUCUGAGACUAAAAUUUGAGUUUAUUUACUAGUAAAAUGUCUGCCCCUAAGGUAUGAAUGACUCGGUAGCAUCUCAAAAAAAGACAACCCAAAUAGCAUCUCUAAUUGGAAAAAUCUACGAGAACAACUUGCAUGGGAAAGUACAACAGAAAUGCUCUUUGGUGCUCUUUCCCUGCUCCAAGCAAACAUGAAAUACCAGAUUUCAAUUUUCAACAAUUACUGAUUUUCAUUACUGAGUAGCUAGUUUCCUGAGCAUAUUGUCAAUCACUUUCCCAAAAUCCUAAGAAUGUCUGCCCUCACAUUCAGGGCUUUCUCAUUGUUUUCUCUGAAGACCUCUUCUCACAAUUUCUAGAGCUUCUUGCAGACCUCCAUUGCUGACUCAAAAGGCAUGACUUUCUUACAACUCCAUCUCCCUACAGGUGACAAGAUUUACAGCUUGCUCACCCUACUGCUUUUCUCUCAACUACUGAAAUGGUCCUCCAGAUUAAUUUGUUUUAGGUAACAACAAAUUUCUAAGAUGCAGCAUUAGAUCCCUUAAUAGGUACAAUACCCAUAAGUUUUCAAAGUGGAGUCUAGUUAGCCUAUAAAAAGUAAGAGUCUGAGAGUUCUUUGAGCAUUUGUGUUUUUAUAUUCUAAUCUACAAUUAAUAAUAUAGCUAUACUUAUUUCAGUGAUUCAGUUUAGAUUUACCAAGUAACCAUUUUUGCUUAUAGUAGGGUUUCAUGUAUCCCUUGCUGGCUUCAAAAUCACAUAGUCAAAGAUGACUGAACUUCUGAUCCUCCUGGCUCCACCUCUGGGUACAAAUAAAUAGAUGGCACUGCUAAA